CCGGGUAUAAAAGUAACGGCGGGUCAAAAGUAACAAAUGCGCUGUAGGUUUGUCUAAUAAUCGCAACGCCGCUUCGCUGCCGUCAGGUGAUAGCCCCUCGUACCCCCCUCACCUGUAUUCAGUCGCCGCGAGCGCCACGCGCAAUGAUGUUGUGUUAGAGGACGCUACGUGAUUUUACGAAUGAAAAAAUGCCGCGACAUCGCAUCAGAAACACCUCACGAGGAACUACUGAUAUGGAAGUUUACCGAAAAGCAGCUGAAGAGCAUUGCAAGGAAGGCACAAAAAUAAGAGCCUUAGCAAGAAAAUAUAACGUUUGCCAUGUAACGUUACACAGAUACAUAAAAAAAGUUAAGGCAGGGAAUACUAAUGCAGUUGUUGGCUACCGUUCUGUCAACCGUGUUUUUAGUUCUGACGAGGAAAAAACUUUACAGGACUAUUUGAUUGAAUGCUCUGGAGUUUAUUUUGGAUUAUCUCCAUGUGAAGUUCGUAAACUGGCAUACGAGUUGGCGAACAAAAACAAAAAAAAAUUUCCUGAUAAGUGGCAUGACACUCAAAUGGCAGGUAAGGAAUGGUUGACGGGUUUUUUAAAGCGACAUCCAAGCCUUUCUUUGAGGAGUCCUCAAGCAACAAGUCUGUCCAGGGCCUCAAGUUUUAAUGAACACAAUGUAAAUAAGUUUUUCGAUAACCUUGGUAACGUUAUGGACAGGUACAAUUUUGAACCAAAAGAUAUUUGGAAUAUGGAUGAAACGGGGGUGACCACUGUUCAGAAACCUAGCAAGAUUAUAGCUCAAAAAGGUAUUAAGCAAGUAGGUGCAGUAACCUCAGCAGAACGUGGAAGAUUAGUAACUGUUGCGGUCGCAAUUAAUGCUCAAGGAGGACACAUUCCUCCUUUUUUUGUAUUUCCACUAAAGCGAUACCAAGACCACAUAAUACGAGAAGGUCCUGUAGGAUGUGCUGGAGCUGGCAAUAAUAGUGGAUGGAUGCAGGAAGCAGAAUUUUUGCUAUUUCUAGAACAUUUCAAAAAACAAGUAAAACCAACGGUUGAGCAAAAAUGUUUGUUACUGCUUGAUAAUCAUGCUUCGCAUAUAUCGAUCCUAGCUCUAGAUUUCUGCAAAAUGAAUGGUAUAGUAUUGUUGUCGUUUCCACCUCACUGUACACAUAAACUUCAACCUCUGGACAGAGCAGUAUUUGGACCAUUUAAGAAAAUGAUAAAUACCGCUACAGACAACUGGAUGCGAAAUCAUCCUGGCCAAACAAUGACCAUCCAUUACAUUCCAGGGAUUGUUAGAGAAGCAUUUCCUUUUUCUGUAACUGAUAGAAAUGCCAUUGCCGGAUUUACCUGUACCGGUAUAAGCCCAUUUAAUAGAAAUAUUUUUACUGCUGUCGACUUUGCACCAUCAUCAGUAACUGACCGUCCAUUACAAAUUAAUAUUGAAAUUCCACCAACUGAUCCAUUGCCCAGUUUUGAUGUAACGUCUACAAAAGAAGUUGCUUCAGAAACUUCAGCAGACGUUCUUCCAACAUCGAAUGACCAGCUUACAGACAGUAUUAAUUUGUCGAGCAAAUCACAGUCUGCUCAAGAUUUACCGGGCACGUUAUCUGCUGAAGGUAAUUCUUCAUUAACUACUCCAGCUUCCGACCAAAGAUCUCACUCGCCAGUUCCAGGACCGAGUGGAUUACAACAAAUCAGCUCUUCUCAAUCGUUUAAUUUUACUCCUAAA